CCUAGUAAGUACAAGUCACUAGCUUGUGCUGAUUACGUCCCUGCCCUUUGUACGCACCGCCCGUCGCUACUACCGAUUGAAUGGCUUAGUGAGGCCCUCGGAUUGAGGCUCGGAGAUUGGCAACAGUUUCUUGGUUUUGAAAAGUUGGUCAAACUUGGUCAUUUAGAGGAAGUAAAAGUCGUAACAAGGUUUCCGUAGGUGAACCUGCGGAAGGAUCAUCA
rnacentral:rRNA from 1 species